UACGUAGGGUGCGAGCGUUGCCCGGAUUUAUUGGGCGUAAAGGGCGCGUAGGUGGCGGCUUAAGCGUGCGGUGAAAGCUCGGGGCUCAACCCCGAGUCGGCCGUGCGAACUGAGUCGCUUGAGCACUGUAGAGGCAGGCGGAAUUCCGGGUGUAGCGGUGGAAUGCGUAGAGAUCCGGAAGAACACCAGUGGCGAAGGCGACUUACUGGACUGUAACUGACGCUGAGGCAUGAAAGCGUGGGGAGCAAACAGG
rnacentral:rRNA from 1 species